rnacentral:tRNA from 1 species
GUUCCUGUAGCGCAAUGGAUAGCGCGUUGGACUUCUAAUCUAAAGGUCGUGCGUUCGAUUCCCACCUGGAAUG